AAACUGCUGUUUGUCUCCCUUUAGUUCCAAAACCGAGAGCAGACACCGCUCCUGUUCAGUCUGAGUGUUCCAACGAAUACAUGAUACCUGGUAAAUCCAUUUCCCUCUCUCACUCUCUCUCUCUCUCGCUAUCUCUCUCAUUCUCUCUCUCUCAUUCUCUCUCUCUCUCUCUCUCUCUCUCUCACACAUGUCUAGCAGUUAUUGAUCUCUCAACAAGAGGUACACUACUCAGAGUUAUAGAGAAGUAGGGAAGCACUUUUACACAUUCUUGUGGCAAAACCUAGUGUAUAAUCUGACCAAACCUAUACUGUAUUUUUCAGGUUAUAAUACGCACUUAAAAUUCUUUAACUUUCCAAAAAUUGACAGUGCGCCUUAUAUAUAAUCCGAAUUCUAUCAGUCAGGUAUUAAAGAGCAGUAAAGCCACUCCGCUGACAAACCACUAGCUGACAGCACCCUGCGUUUCCAGAACACUCCGGGUUUCUCAGCCUGCGGUUAGUGGCUAAUGCUAAUACUGCUGUACCCAGCCUUAGUGCUGGAGAAACUUGAAAUUAUUUGAAAAGCUUACUGUAAAUAAAGGGAAGCGCUUUACUCACCCACAUAAACAGUUUUUAGUAGAGAAAUCUGUGUAGAUUAAUAUCCAGUGCUUGUGUUUGACUUUGAAAUAAUACUUUUUUUUUGCUCACUUUGAUCUAGGCAACUUUACUAGUGUUGCUUAAUGUUCCUUAUAAUCUGGUGCGCCUUUUGUAUGAAAUUAGAUUAAAAAAGUAGACAUUCAUUGAUAGUGCACCUUAUAAUCCGGUCUGCUUUAUAGACAAAAAAAUAUUUUCAUAUCAGCAUGAAACUGAAACUGAGAGAUACCUUCAUGCUGAGUUUUGCAUGCAACAAUAUUUUACAUAUUUUACACACACUGUUGGUAUAGGUGUGUUUAGUUCUAUAUCUCUGUGUCCUGUGUCUUAAGAGUUCUUGUUGUGUAUUUGUGUUUCAGAGAUGGAGGUGGACAGGGGAGAUGAAGGUGCAGCUGCUCCAGCCCCUUUACCGCAUCAUGGCCCAGUGCCAUCAUUCUUACAUCAGCAGAUCACUCACCCUGAAGGCCUGACUGUCAGUAGAGGUGGCGCUCUGCUUCCGCCCAGCCACCCGUUGCCAACAGUUCGUCCGCGCACAAUGUCAGAGAUGACCAGAACAAACCAGGCGCUGCCUCCGAUACCUGGCACAGAGGGCCUGUCUCGAAUGUUCUCUGCAGGAGUUUCUCAAGAGCUGAGAGAGAAGCUGCUGAAGAGGCAGCGUAUUUCAGAGUGACCAGUGACCCCGUCUGCACAAAGAAAUGAAGAAAUAAUGAAGGAAUUAAAAGACCCGGGAACCCCUCCUGAAGUAUCCAAUCAGCUGUGAAUGUCUGUGUGUGAGUUACUGUAUUUGUGAGAGUGUUGUCCAGCUGGCUGGACCAGCAUGGACGUGAGUAAUCAGGAAGAUUGAUUUGUAUUGAUCCUCUGCAGUGAGAUUCUGCAGUGAUAUAUUAACGUUUACUUGUUUUUAAUUAGUGAACAGCAGCAGUAUGGCUGUGAAUCUGCUUGUAAGUGUCGUGAUCAUUUUUAUUCCCGCCUACAGUAAAUCACUGUGUAUCUGUAUAGCAUUAUUGCUAAUUUAAUUCCUUUUUUUUUUUACAGUAGGGUGACCAUAUAUGUAAUUAUGAAUAGAGAACACUGAGGGAAUGCAGGCAUCUACUCUGGUUGGGAUGUUGUGGCUUGGGGGGGGCUUCAGAUAUGCCUAACCGUUGUCUACAUACACACAGAUAAUUUUUAACUGUAAGUGUUUGGCUGUUUUGGCUUUCCGUUUACUCACCAAUGUCAUUUUCCACUGUAACAGGAUUGAGAUGAGGGCUUUGACUUCCUCAUUUUUUAAAUUAUUCUUUGAGGCGUUCCUUCAUGGAGUUAGUGGAAUGCUUUGGGUCAUUGUCAUGUUGCACGGUCCACCUCCUCUUCAGUUUUUGGUAAAUAAUUCUUAGUGGAUUUAUGAUAGAGAGCUUCCCAGGCCCCAAACUACAACAUUUUUACCUCCAUGCACAGAUUAACAUUAGUAAAAGCAGUGCAGUAGUAUUAUGCAGUUUAUUAUAACAGUUUUAUACAGAUGUACCUUUUUUUUAAAUAUUGUAAAAUUAUCUAAAUGUUUAACUAGUUGACACACUGUUAACUAUAUCCACUGUUUGCCAAUAUUCAAGGCAAAUAGAAUAAAUGGAAGAUUUUAACAUUUAACUACUAAAAA
ensembl:lncRNA